rnacentral:rRNA from 1 species
GACGAACGCUGGCGGCGUGCUUAACACAUGCAAGUCGAACGGAAAGGCCCUGCGUUUGUGGGGUGCUCGAGUGGCGAACGGGUGAGUAACACGUGAGUAACCUGCCCUUGACUUUGGGAUAACUUCAGGAAACGGGGGCUAAUACCGGAUAGGAUCUCCUGCUGCAUGGUGGGGGUUGGAAAGUUUCGGCGGUUGGGGAUGGACUCGCGGCUUAUCAGCUUGUUGGUGGGGUAGUGGCUUACCAAGGCUUUGACGGGUAGCCGGCCUGAGAGGGUGACCGGCCACCAUGGGCCUGAGAUACGGCCCAGACUCCUACGGGAGGCAGCAGUGGGGAAUAUUGCACAAUGGGAGGACGCCUGAUGCAGCAACGCCGCGUGCGGGAUGACGGCCUUCGGGUUGUAAACCGCUUUCGCCUGUGACGACGCGUGAGUGACGGUAAUGGGUAAAGAAGCACCGGCUAACUACGUG